AGGGAGCGCAGGGCUGGGCUCCGGCCUCUCCCACAGCACUCACGUGUCCCCUUCCUGGGGAGCAUCCCGCACGCACGCAACACAGUGUUGUGAAGGCUCUAGAAUCAGCAGAGGCUGGUGUUGGACCCGUGAGAGGAACCGAGAACCCAAGAUGCAGCAUAAAAGCCACGCAGAGAAGCCAAGACGGGAGCAGAGAAAACUAACCCCCUUUAACGAGCGCAGCCUCACUGCGGAGAAGCGCGCGUGAGGCUCAGUCAAGAGGCCUGUAGAGACGGCAGGAGACAGGAAAGGCCCUGGCCGCCUGGGCGGACAGCGGGAGCCACGCCUGCCCCAUAACUGUGCCCGGGGCCUCCCCAGACCCCUGCUGGCCACGACCGCCUGCAAGUCCAGAACCCCAGGCUCUGCCAUCCGGAAACUCCAGGCGCUCAGCAGAACUCACCUCCUUCCAGUGGGGAAAGCCUUCCCGGAAUAAACCUGGUUAGCUCGC